GUAAAACCGCUCUCGACGAGUGACUGGCGCGGGAGGGGGGGGAAGGGGUGUUGUGGGAGCGUUCGGUCGUUUGGCGGAUCUCGUUUUUAAUCGUUCGCCCGGGGACCGCGUAAAGGACCACCCCGAACGCGAUGCAACACAAUGAGUAUUACUUACGAUAUUAUCACAGCACAAUGUUACGCACUCGUAUCCGACGGUUUGGCGAUUUCGGACGGAAACGGUCGGGUUCGGGUACGAAAACCGGCGCAUUGUUGUCGCCGUUAUUAAUGGUGUCUAAAUGGCCAGCGUG